rnacentral:lncRNA from 1 species
AUGAUGUUCAGAGACCGAACGUCUCAUAUAGCACACACACAUUCAUUACCAACCACUCACUAUCCCCCCAUGCUGAAUGUGAUGCACUGUUCAGGGUUCAGUCAGUGCAGUGGCCUAUCUGGGCAAAACCAAGGAAGGGUCCAUUUGAAGCACCAUACAGGGGUAUUUCAAGGAAGGGACCAUUUGAAGCAUCUUACAGGGGUAAUCCAAGGAAGGGUCCAUUUGAAGCAUCUUACAGGGGUAAACCAAGGAAGGGACCAUUUGAAGCACAUUACAGGGGUAAUCCAAGGAAGGGUCCAUUUGAAGCAUCUUACAGGGGUAAUCCAAGGAAGGGUCCAUUUGAAGCAUCUUACAGGGGUAAACCAAGGAAGGGUCCAUUUGAAGCAUCUUACAGGGGUAAACCAAGGAAGGGUCCAUUUGAAGCACCUUAAAGGGGUAAACCAAGGAAGGGUCCAUUUGAAGCAUCUUACAGGGGUAAUCCAAGGAAGGGUCCAUUUGAAGCAUCUUACAGGGGUAAACCAAGGAAGGGUCCAUUUGAAGCAUCUUACAGGGGUAAACCAAGGAAGGGACCAUUUGAAGCAUCUUACAGGGGUAAACCAAGGAAGGGACCAUUUGAAGCAUCUUACAGGGGUAAUCCAAGGAAGGGUCCAUUUGAAGCAUCUUACAGGGGUAAACCAAGGAAGGGUCCAUUUGAAGCAUCUUACAGGGGUAAACCAAGGAAGGGACCAUUUGAAGCAUCUUACAGGGGUAAUCCAAGGAAGGGUCCAUUUGAAGCAUCUUACAGGGGUAAACCAAGGAAGGGUCCAUUUGAAGCACAUUACAGGGGUAAACCAAGGAAGGGUCCAUUUGAAGCAUCUUACAGGGGUAAACCAAGGAAGGGACCAUUUGAAGCAUCUUACAGGGGUAAUCCAAGGAAGGGUCCAUUUGAAGCAUCUUACAGGGGUAAACCAAGGAAGGGUCCAUUUGAAGCACAUUACAGGGGUAAACCAAGGAAGGGUCCAUUUGAAGCACUGUACAGAGGGAUGUCUGACUACAGCAAAGAAAAUAAACACCAAACCCCUCAACCUUCAAAGUUAUCAUCACUUAAAGGUGCUACACCCCCAAAACCCCAUUUCUCCGUAA